rnacentral:rRNA from 1 species
AACGGCCAUUGAUACUGUUAGGCUUGAAUUAUUAGGAAGUAACUAGAAUAUGUAGUGUAGCGGUGAAAUGCUUAGAGAUUACAUGGAAUACCAAUUGCGAAGGCAGGUUACUACUAAUGGAUUGACGCUGAUGGACGAAAGCGUGGGUAGCGAACAGGAUUAGAUACCCUGGUAGUCCACGCCGUAAACGAUGGAUACUAGCUGUUGGAAGCAAUUUCAGUGGCUAAGCGAAAGUGAUAAGUAUCCCACCUGGGGAGUACGUUCGCAAGAAUGAAACUCAAAGGAAUUGACGGGGGCCCGCACAAGCGGUGGAGCAUGUGGUUUAAUUCGAUGAUACGCGAGGAACCUUACCAAGGCUUAAAUGUAGUUUGACCGAUUUGGAAACAGAUCUUUCGCAAGACAAAUUACAAGGUGCUGCAUGGUUGUCGUCAGCUCGUGCCGUGAGGUGUCAGGUUAAGUCCUAUAACGAGCGCAACCCCUGUUGUUAGUUGCCAGCGAGUCAAGUCGGGAACUCUAACAAGACUGCCAGUGCAAACUGUGAGGAAGGUGGGGAUGACGUCAAAUCAUCACGGCCCCUUACGCCUUUGGGCUACACACGUGCUACAAUGGACGGUACAGAGAGCAGCCACUACGUGAGUAGGAGCGAAUCUACA